AAAUUGAAGAGUUUGAUCAUGGCUCAGAUUGAACGCUGGCGGCAGGCCUAACACAUGCAAGUCGAACGGUAACAGGAAACAGCUUGCUGUUUCGCUGACGAGUGGCGGACGGGUGAGUAAUGUCUGGGAAACUGCCUGAUGGAGGGGGAUAACUACUGGAAACGGUAGCUAAUACCGCAUAAUGUCGCAAGACUAAAGAGGGGGACCUUCGGGCCUCUUGCCAUCGGAUGUGCCCAGAUGGGAUUAGCUAGUAGGUGGGGUAACGGCUCACCUAGGCGACGAUCCCUAGCUGGUCUGAGAGGAUGA
rnacentral:rRNA from 1 species